UUCUGUUGUGUGCACAGAAUAUAUCUGAAGGAAAAGACAGGAAACUAGUAAAAUUGGUAGGGGGUAGAGGAGAGAGAUUUUUCACCAUAUGUUCCUUUGUAUACUAUUUGAAUUUCUUUUAUCAGAGGUAUGUAGGUAUUAAAUAUUCCAAAAUUUUAAAAGUUAUUUACAAAGCAUUUACUAUGUUGGGUGUUUUACAUCCUCAAAGCAGCGCCAUAAGCAGUGGAUCUUCAGGGUUCUAAAGAAAACACCCAAAGAACUCCGAAUGUCAAGCCAGGAGGACUUCUGAAGAACCUCUAGAUUCUGUCUCAGCAGAGAAGGAAGCGGUGGUCCAAGAGAGGGGAGAAACUACAGUAAACGCUCUUGCUCACGUUCUCUCUUCCCUUCUGCCUCCUGACUGACCCCAGUGCUUGCUGGUGUGACCCUGCAUGGAGCAUGCAGUUGGUCAUGAUGCCAACAGGGACCAGGCGACAGAGGUAGUGAGGGACUGUCAUUUCUAUCUUGGGGAAUGGGAGUCAACAAGAGGCCCUCACUCAAUGGAGAAAGGGGG